AGACAUUUCGCGCUCAUUCACUUCCGCCUCCCUCUCGGUCGCAACUGUUUUGCAUCUUGUUUCAUCGCGUUUCACGAUGCCCCGCUUCAACUACGAUUCCACCACGGCCGUCUGCAUCGCCACGGAAUAGGAGCUUUCUCGGUCAACCAAAUUGAAGAAGAGAUGUUAUGAUAUCGCUGAAGGGCGAACUGAAGGAUAGACGUGGACGACUGUUGGGGGGACACGCCAGCCUGUGGGCUGAUGUUGCUGAUGCUGUGGGAAACACCGGCGGACGUCUUGGGGAAGGUAACGACAUCGAAGCGAAGAGUGUGGAGUUCGACAGCCGCAUGGCUGCGGGCGUGAAGUUGAGGGGGAAGAGACCGGAGAGAAGAUGCAGGGGUGACGAAUCAAGAUGACAAACGAUUUAUUAGUAAUAUCACUGUUUAUAUCUUAUCUGGAUAAGAUACUCAAUUAGACAUCAAGAUGACUGUCACUCGUACACUCAAAAGAUACUAAGAGUAUAGAAGCCAAAAGAGAAACUUGAGUGAUGCAAAAGUUAAAAUUGCUACGAUGGUGCUCACCACAUCUACUCGCAAGUCAAGUUCCUCAAGAUGAAGCAUUAAUAACGCAGCCCUGACAAAAUAAUGCAAAUUUGAAGAAUUCAUAAACAUAAAAAGAACUAACUACUAAUUAAGGUAUAGACUAGAAGAAAUAAUAAAAAUUAAAAUGUAAUAUAAUACUUAGCUACCUACGUUUCGCUACUUCAUAUUGAACUGAACCGGAGCCUGACAAUGCACCACACGACCUUUUUCUGAUUAUGUAAAACGCCAUGAAUAGAAUAGAAUUGAUCACAUCUCACAAGGAAGGAGGAGUGAUAUGGCGAUAACAUAUUUUCUUGGCGAAGAAGAAAUUACUGUCUCAAUGCGUAAAAUAUUACUCUACGAAGCAAGAAGGCUAAGAAUGAAGAAAGAAAAAAAGGCAAAACAUAAACGC